UACGUAGGGUCCGAGCGUUGUCCGGAAUUACUGGGCGUAAAGAGCUCGUAGGUGGUUUGUCGCGUUGUUCGUGAAAACUCACAGCUCAACUGUGGGCGUGCGGGCGAUACGGGCAGACUUGAGUACUGCAGGGGAGACUGGAAUUCCUGGUGUAGCGGUGGAAUGCGCAGAUAUCAGGAGGAACACCGGUGGCGAAGGCGGGUCUCUGGGCAGUAACUGACGCUGAGGAGCGAAAGCGUGGGUAGCAAACAGG
rnacentral:rRNA from 1 species